CUAGUUGGUUGAAUGAUAACUCAAAGAUUUGAGAGGAAAGUCUGGGCUCCAUAGGCAAAAGUACCAGGUAACACCUGGCAGGAGUAAUCCUAGGGAUAGUGCCACAGAAAAUAAACCGCCUUAUCAAGGCAAGGGUGAAACGGUGAGGUAAGAGCUUACCGCCUUUUUAGUAAUAAGAAGGGCAUGGAAAACCCUACUUGGAGCAAGACCAAAUAGGGAUAGCGCGAUCGAACAUCAAACAUCCUAAGUUAGCUAUCCGGGUUGGUUGCUAGAACUGGUUAGAAAUAAUCAGUCAAGAUAAAUUAUCAUUUUAAAUGACAGAACCCAGCUUACAGAUCGACUAGCAUU
rnacentral:RNase_P_RNA from 1 species